GAAAAGGACAAGGACCACUGCUCACCUACUCACAGAUAGUUCACAGGAGGGGGCAGGAACAUCAGGCAGUUGUAUCUUGAUGGUCAGAGAUCUGAAGUCCUAGUGAUCACAGCACCUGUUUAUCGGUGUACAGCCUGGCAUCACUUCAGUACUGGUGAAAGGCCACCAUUUCUCAUCACACCUAAAGGUAACUGGCAAUUUGGCUCUG
rnacentral:lncRNA from 11 species